UCUCCUUUCAUCCCUCCUGAAGUAUAAGUCUCGUCCUUAUUCAUUUCAUUAGCCCUUGGUCACUUUUGAAGCCUUUUCUUGGAGAGCAAUCCAAGAACUCUCAGACAACUUUUCUGGCCUUUCUUGCUCUAGUUUUUCGAAAUUCUUAAUGGUAGAUCAUGUGCUAGGAUCAGGAGGCGCAACGGAGGAUGACAGACUGGAAACAGUGGAUUAGACAACAACAGCAUGACGCAGAGCUCAUCACUUUGAUGUUCCAUUUUAUUGAUAAUAUUAUGACGUCUUUGACUGAGUUGCUGAGCUACUUAAUGGAUUAGCCUAGUAGUCAACUUAAUUUUUGCAUGUACUUAAGGAACUUUGCCUCCAAUACUAUUAUGGUUGCAUAUAUUUUGGACUUACGCUGUAACUUAAAUGUCCAUUAUCUUUAGUUUAUUGAAUAUGUUUUAUGUUUGAGAUGUAA